GACGAACGCUGGCGGCGUGCUUAACACAUGCAAGUCGAACGAUGAAGAAGAGCUUGCUCUUCGGAUUAGUGGCGAACGGGUGAGUAACACGUGACUAACCUGCCCCUUUCUCUGGGAUAACGCUCCGAAAGGAGUGCUAAUACCGGAUACUCACAUCGAGGCACAUGCCUUGAUGUGGAAAGUUUUUCGGAAAGGGAUGGAGUCGCGGCCUAUCAGCUUGUUGGUGAGGUAACGGCUCACCAAGGCAACGACGGGUAGCCGGCCUGAGAGGGCGACCGGCCACGCUGGGACUGAGACACGGCCCAGACUCCUACGGGAGGCAGCAGUGGGGAAUAUUGCACAAUGGGCGAAAGCCUGAUGCAGCGACGCCGCGUGAGGGAUGAAGGUCUUCGGAUUGUAAACCUCUUUCAGUAGGGACGAAGCGAAAGUGACGGUACCUAAAGAAGAAGCACCGGCUAACUACGUGCCAGCAGCCGCCGUAA
rnacentral:rRNA from 1 species